AUUUUCAUUUUAUUUAAGAUAACAGCUUUAUGGUUGUAGUUUUAGCUAACUGUAAAGGCAUGUUUUACUGUAGUGUAUGUGUAGCAGAACUGUGUUUGAUCGUCACACGCGUGUCUCCAGCCGUCUCUGUCCAGCGUCAGUCGUGUGGUCACUCAUGAUAUCCCGGUGGACGUGAUUCCCCGACGACUCUGGCACGAUUUCAGAGAGCCGCAGAUGCCAGACUUUGAUGUCAGCAUAUAUUUACCUCCUCUGAAGACCAUGAAGAGCGUUGUGGACCGCAUGAAGAACCUCUCCAACUAUCUGGUGCUGGAGGCUAAUCUGAACGGCGAGAUGAACCUCAAGAUCGACACAGACCUGGUUUCUGUCACAACACACUUUAAGGAGCUGGGAAACCCUCCGUGGGGUGAGAGAGCCUUUACACUU